rnacentral:lncRNA from 1 species
CCAGGGAGGAAGCCAGCUUCUGCCUCCUCAAGGCUGGGGGCUCUGGCUGCACACAGGCAUUCCCAGGGGCCUCUGGAGAAGGCUGUGUUGGUGGAAGUGCAUACAGAUCUGGAGAUGGCAUGGGGGUGAGGGGGAGUAUUCGGCAGUGUACACGGGCAUUUGGUCAGUUCUUGUUUGAGGAGGAGCCCAGGUCCGGGGCACCCUGGAUUGUAGCCCUGCCCACAUCACACCCACGGUGGAGGCAGUGGCGGCCACUUUUCUGCUGAGCUCAGGCCUAUGCAGUCCUGAAUUGAAUCUCUCACUGGAACAUUGGGAAACUGAGGCCCCUAGAGGGGUAGGGAAUGGCCCUCGACAGGGACACACGCCAGAGGACAUGUCUAGCAAGUCCACGCUCCGGUCCUCCCCAGUGUGCAGACAGGAGGCCGACAGGCCCUGAGAGACACAACGGCUUAUGCAGGAUCCAGAAGAGGGCUCUGGUUCCCAGAAAGCCCGGAGGGAGAACCUUUGGAGACGUUGUGGACGCUGGCUCAGCUCCCACGCCCCCCACCGCUGGACCUUUGGCAGGAGGUCCUCUCAGGUAACAUGAGGAAGCCUAGAGCAGCCCAAUCGAGGCCAGACCAGCUCCCCGAGCCCUCCCAGGGCAGCCCUCAUCCCGUCCUCGUGAGUGUGGGGGCCAGAGGGACGUGUGGGCAGGAUCUGCCCUUGGCCGCAGAAGGUUGGUGGGCUGGCAAUAACCUGCUUUUCCCGUCACGUUCCCAAGGCAGGACAGGGCUGGCAGGACUGAAAGGGGACCCCUAAGCUGCCUCCUCAUUCCAGGGCCCUCAGGCUGCCGUGUGUUUCCCUCCUCGGUGAA